rnacentral:rRNA from 1 species
UACGAAGGGGGCUAGCGUUGUUCGGAUUUACUGGGCGUAAAGCGCACGUAGGCGGAUCUUUAAGUCAGAGGUGAAAUCCCAAGGCUCAACCUUGGAACUGCCUUUGAUACUGGGGAUCUUGAGUCCGGGAGAGGUGAGUGGAACUGCGAGUGUAGAGGUGAAAUUCGUAGAUAUUCGCAAGAACACCAGUGGCGAAGGCGGCUCACUGGCCCGUAACUGACGCUGAGGCACGAAAGCGUGGGGAGCAAACAGG